rnacentral:lncRNA from 1 species
CCGUGCCAUAUUAUUACCUGUGUUUGAAUUUCAAGUACCAGGUUCUCAUUUGUUGCUGAUAACUAAUAAUAGUUACUAUAAUAUUAUUAAGUUGAUAUGCUUUAUUUUGAUAGAACAAAUGAAUCAUUGAUCAUAUUUUCUCAUAGCAGAAUGAAGAAUAGUUCAGGUUAAUUUUUUUUUGUUAGAAAUAAUCAUAAAGGGUUUGUGAUUAAUGUCAAAUAUAAUAGUGGACAAAUCUAUGGUCAAUAUUCAUGUAGUAUUUGUUCUGAUUGAUUGAUAUGAGGGGCUGUUUGAUCUUUGUGUGUGUUCCAAAGUGCAGUUGUGGAUCUUGAUUUUGAUACUGAAGUUUUUAUAGAAUUGAAGGAGUUUUAGUUGUGGAUUUUAUGUUUACUUAGAUUCAAAAUUGUUGUUUUUGUUGGUUGUAAAUCUAAAAUGGAUUUCUGUAGUGAGGGAAGGACAUGGUUCUGACAAAAAUAUAAUUUUGAGUAAGGAAAGUUGAGUGGAUUUUUUUUAGGAGACAUGAAUGUGUUGUCUGCAUGGAUGCUUGAUGAGAUCAUUGACUAAUAGUUUUUGACAACAGUAAUAAUUUUGUUUCUUUAGAUCUUAUGGUUUUGAUCUUUAGGAGACUGCUCUGUGACAUUACCUUGAUAACUUGCCAUCAGAUCUGAUCUAUUGUUAAUAACCUAUCUUUGUUGAAAUGGGUAUACACUUAAAAUUUAAUUUGAAGUAAUAAGGAAAUGGUUGGGAGAUGUGUAUGUUCUGUUGAUGUUUGGAAAUGGAGUUUCUUGGGUUUCUGAUUUAAAGGUGACCAUGGUUGGUCCUUAUACUUGAAUUUGAAGUACUUUGUUUUGCCUAAAUUAGUAUGGGAAGAAAAUAUAAUACUGAGAAUGUUUUGUUGGGUGAAAAUCCAGGGUUAUAUAAUGGGUUAAUGAUUUUUGUGUACAAAGAAAUACUGAGAUUUUUGGGAAAAAAGAUUGUUAACUUUUGCUCUACUGCAAGUGAACACUAGGGAGGCGCUCUUGAGUUGUAAAAAUUACCCCUUUCUUCCAGUUGGGAUUGAAAAUUCCCCCUUAAACUUUGUCUUUAAAUGAUUUUAAAGAAUCAUGAAGAAUGCAAGGCUUGAAUUUAAUUUAUAAAAUUGAGGUUUUACUUUUAUUUAGAAAACAUUUUACCCAUGGGGGGUUAAUUUUUUAAAAAGAUGUGUACUUAAGCUGAGCUUUAGAUUUUCCAAGAAUUAUCCCUAUUUCAAAAUGGCUUGAUAAAACACCACUUCCUGUCCAGGGAGGAAGUUAUUUUAGCUCAAGGAUUGAAAUAUUUAGCAGAUCUUUAGACAAAAGGAACAAAUUACAUUUCUCUCUGGCUUAAAAAGGGUGCAUGAGCCAGAGGGGGUUAAGAAGCCCU